UCCGCGGGGGCGGGGGCGGGGCCCAGGGCGGCCGGUUGGGGACCCGGCGCGCGGCGCGGGGGCGGCCCGCUAGUUGUCGGGAGCGGGCGGAGCCGCCGCGAGACCCGGGGGCCUCUGCAGGCGACGGCGCGGCUGGGCCGCGGCGCACUCCCACUCCUGGCUGGUGAAGGAUGGGCGAGCUGGAAGGAACCUACCGGGUCCUGCAGACCCCGGGGGCACGCCUGGGCGGACAAGCCCCCGUGGGCGUCAGCACCCUGGAGCCCGGGCAGAGCCCCGCGGCGGCAGCGGCCAGGCUGCAGGUGCGCGUGGAGCUGCUGGACGGCACCGUGGAGGCGUUCGCCGUGGAGCCUAAAUGCACCGGGCAGACGCUGCUGACGCAAGUGUGGAAGCGUUUGAAUCUGAUAGAAUGUGACUACUUUGGCUUGGAGUUUCAGACCCUCCAGUCCCGCUGGGUUUGGCUUGAACCCGUGAAGCCUAUCGUUAGGCAAGUACGAAGGCCCAAGAGUGCUGCGCUCCGCCUGGCAGUGAAGUUCUUCCCACCCGACCCGGGUCAGCUGCAGGAAGAACACACACGGUACCUGUUCGCCCUGCAGCUUAAGCGAGACCUGCUGGAGGAGCGGCUGACCUGCACGGACGCCACGGCGGCCCUGCUCGCGUCCCACCUCCUGCAGUCGGAAAUAGGCGACUACGACGAGACGCUGGACCGGGAGCACCUGCGUGCCCACGAGUACCUGCCUGGGCAGGAGCGUGCCCUCGAGAGGGUCCUGCAGCUGCACCGGCAGCACGUGGGCCAGACGCCUGCCGAGUCGGAUUUCCAGGUGCUUGAAAUCGCCCGGAAGUUGGAAAUGUACGGCCUCCGAUUUCACGCGGCCGCGGACAGGGAGGGCGCCGGGAUCAGCCUGGCGGUCUCGCAUAUGGGUGUCCUCGUCUUCCAGAGCACCACCAAAAUCAACACCUUCAACUGGUCCAGGGUCCGAAAGCUCAGCUUCAAGAGGAAAAGGUUUCUUAUCAAACUCCACCCAGAGGUCCAUGGACCUUACCAGGACACACUGGAGUUCUUGUUCAGCAGCAGAGACGAGUGUAAGCGCUUCUGGAAGAUCUGUGUGGAGCAUCACACCUUCUUUCGGCUUUGCGAUCAGCCGAAGCCGAGAGCUAAAGCCGUGCUCUUCACCCGAGGCUCCUCCUUCAGAUACAGUGGAAGAACCCAGCGGCAGCUAGCGGAUUUGGUCAAAGCUGGUGGCGCCAAGAGGGUUCCCUAUGAAAGAAGACACAGCAAGAUGCGGGCGCCUCUCCGGACCCCGACUGCAGACGCGCCCCGGCCGAGCAUCUCGUUCACGGAGGGCCUGAGGACGCCUGCCUCCCCACCGUCGUCAGAUGCCUCCCCUCCAGCCCCGCCGAGCCUGCUCGGCUUCCAGGACGGCUUCCCCAGGGAGCCACGGGCUCCAGACGCCAGGUGGCCAGCAGCAGAGAGGAGCGGCAGAGCCGGGGACGCGAGCCGGGCCCAGCCGCCCAGGCUGCCUGCGCUGCAGCCCUGCCAAGGCCCCUCGGAGGAGAGUCCUCAGCCUCCCCCCUCCACCCAGGAGAGCCCGCUGGGCCCAGCGGAGCAGGGCUCCACCCCCCUCCUGAGCCCCGCCCCCCGUGUCACCAGGAUGGACCACAAGGGCGCGCCGGCCGACGAGGCCUACUUCAUAGCGGAGGAGAUCCUCGCUACGGAGCGAACAUACCUGAAGGAUCUGGAAGUUAUCACCGUGGUAGGAAACCCACGCCCGGAGGCCUGGCUCUCGUCGCGGCUGCAGCAGGCCGGGCCGGAGGCGCCGAGCAGGGCUGCCAGCCCGGCUCCUCACGUGUGGCUCCCCUCGCGUGGCCUCGUCAGGGCCACACUGGCUCCAGCCUUCUUACACUGGGGACUUGACCCUCUGAAGCUUUUCAGGUCGGGAAACCUGGGCGGUCGGCCAGGAGGUGGCCAGAGCAGUGCUGCGAGCUGCCUGGGGGGCUGGCUCCCUGGGUCCUCUGGCCCUGGUCACUUGCACCGCCCGUCACCCAGCCAGGUGGUCCCCCCACCCCGGGCCGCAGACCCCCAGGCCCCUUCCAAGGCUCCCCGUCCCCUGUCACCCGGGGCCAGGGCAGCCAGCCCCCACCACCUUCUCUACAUCACCCAGCCCCAGCCCCUGGGUCCCCAGGCCCCGCCCGUCACCCGCGCUCUCCCGCAGUGGUUCCGGCGCGCGGUGGCCGAGGAGGACGCCAUGCCCGCAGACCUGACGGCCCUGCUCUUCUCCAGCGUGGACCCCAUCUACGCGUUCCACAGGGGCUUCCUGCACCAGGUGGAGCAGAGGCUGGCGCUCUGGAAAGUCUCCGCGGGCGCCCCAGCAGGCGGCCACCGGCGAAUCGGGGACGUGCUGCUGCGGAACAUGCUGCAGUUGACUGCGCUGACCCACCACUUCCAGAGGCUGGACGAGGUCCUGGCGGGGCUGGACACGGCCAGCAGGCGCCUGCGGAGGCUGGACGCGCUGUGCCGGAACUUUGAACUCCAGAAGGUCUGCUACCUGCCGCUCAACGCCUUCCUGCUGAAGCCGCUGCAGCGCCUGGGGCACUACCGCCGGCUGCUGGGCCGCCUGUGCGAGUGCCCAGACCCCAGGGAUCGCGGGGACCCCGACCGGGACCAGGACCGCGCUGACUGCCGCGACGCCCUCCAGGUCAUUACCGAGGUGACGGCCACACUGCAGCACAGCCUCCUCCGGCUGGAGAACCUCCAGAAGCUGAUGGAGCUGCAGCGGGACUUGGUUGGCGUUGAGAACCUCGUCUCCCCUGGCAGGGAGUUCAUCCGGGAGGGCUGCCUGCGCAAACUCACCAAGAAGGGCCUGCAGCAACGGAUGUUCCUCCUGUUCUCAGACAUGCUGCUGUACACGAGCCGGGGCGCCUCGGGGACCAGCCGCUUCCGGACCCGCGGCCUCCUCCCGCUGCGGGGCAUGCUGGUGAGUGCCUCCUCCCGCGGCCUGGUCCCUCCCGCCUGGCCUGGAGGGGCAGCGCCGCCCAAGCCCCAGCACCUGCAGGAACCGGCCCUCCUGUGGGGCCGGCACAGCUCACCCGGAGAGGAAGCCCAGGCCCUGCUCUGCGGACUGGGGUUUUACUUCCUUGGCUUUCUACUCCCGUGUCUUUGAUGCUGCGUUUGGCUCUUUGCGGCGUCACAUCAGUUACUUGACAUACACGGCUUCAAAAACCAAGACAGGUGCCACCGCUGCUAAAAAGGGGGUGGGGGCUGCAGGGCAAGACCCGCUCAGGGGGGCUCCCAGUGGCCUGCACGGAGCCUGUGUGGCCUCCCCAUGUGAUGAGGCACAAGCUUCAUCCCCAGAGCUGCUUCGGGCCUGGGCUCCGUUUACACCACACGCCGGCAGGGCAGCUCCGCGUCCCCCCCGUCACAGUGGGACAUGGCGCGGUGAUGUUGUCUCUGAUGAGCAGGAGUUCCUUGUGCUAAUGUGAUGCAGCCGGUCAGCCUUCUCCACGGUCAGUGCUUUUGUGACCUUGAAGGUCACAGAGGAUCUGACAGCCCGACGCCCUCGAGUAUAAACCGCACUCAGCCCAAACCCGUCUGUGGACGGCGGAGAUAAGUAGCCCAGUUCGUCUUUGCCGUAAAGAUGCGCUGUGUGUCCAGAACAUCUCACACAGUGACCAUGUCUCCCUGCAGCCCCCAGGUCUCCAUCCAGGCGUAGACAGGUGGGGUCCGUACCCUCCAGUUCCCGAGUCCUGAAGCAUCAGCACUGCCCUCCCCCUCCCCGGCUCUUCCCGCCUCCCCUCUCCUUCCAGAGGGCAGCUCUCCUCCGCAGGCACCUCUAAGUCCUUCGCUUGUCCAGCUCUCAGCAAAAAGGGGUCGCUUCGAAUGACCUCAUCUGCCACCCCUGGAAGCAGACCUCAUCUGUUUGAAAGUAGACUUUUUUUUUUUUUUUAGGGCUGCACCUGCGGCACAUGGAGGUUCCCAGGCUAGGGGUCGAAUCAGGGCUACAGCUGCCGGCCUCCACCACAGCCACAGCAUCGUGAAUCCCCAACCCACUGAGCAAGGACAGGGAUGGAACCCUCGUCCUCAUGGAUACUAGUCGGGUUCGUUCCCGCUGAGCCACGAAGGGACCUCCCAAAGUACACUUUUUAAAAUUCCACUUUAUAGAAAAACACUGAAAGUGUGAAAUGGAAAUCACCGCUCGUUUCACCUCCCGGUAGUCAGCCCGGGGCGGCGCCGCGCCAUCCUGUCCAGCUGUCUUGUAACCUGGCUUUGCGCAGCACCGCGUCUCCAGAGUCCUCUGUGUCCUCUGCGCUUCAGCUCGUUCCGGAGCCAGGGAUGUGGGCUGCGAGCCCAGCCUCAGUGUGCUAACCAGCUCCUGACCCUGGGCAUGUUGCAACAUCUGGUUUUCCAGAGGUAGAAACAGCACUGCUGGAUCUUUCCACGCUUCCCCGAUCUCUCAGUCCCCGAGUUAAGUCGCUGGGCGCGCUGGCCGUGCAGCUCCCGCCUCUCUGCGCCCUGCUGCUCCGGUUCCCGCUGUGUGUUCACGAGGCGCUUCCAAACCCUCACACAUGCUCCCCCGGGUCAGCAGUCCCUCAUCACGCUGCCUGCAGCUUGGUUUAAGCUGGAACUCCAUCCAGAUGGGGACUGUGUGUGUCUCACUUCCAGAACGGCGUCUGGCACAGGGGCCCUGACAGACUCGUUGCCGAAGGAGUUUUUCUGUGGUCACAUCUGUCCAUCUUCUCCUUUAGGGGAUUUGUCUCCGGUGUGGGCUCAGGAAGCCUCUGCCCACCCCAGGAUCAUAUUGGCACUUUCUUUCCUGGUGUGUGCAGUUUUAUUUUUCUCAUAAUUAAUGUGCCUAAAAUUUAUUUUCUCUGUUUUUUGAUUGGGAUGUAGCAUUUUUUCCCCAUGUGGUCACUUCCCCCAUUACUUGUUGAAUCCUUCAUUUUCUUACUGACACUUUAUCAUCAUAAAAACAUUCUUGUCUUUACAAGUUGAUUCUUCCUGGGAGUUCUGUUCCAUUUCUGUCUCUCCCAACACGGGUGUACACUUUUUUUUUUUCUGCUUUUUAGGGCCGCACCCACAACAUAGGGAUGUUCCCAAGCUAGUUGUCAAAUCACAGCUGCAGCUGCCAGUCUACACCACAGCCACUGCAACCCGGGAUCCAAGCCACAUCUGUACCCACACCACAGCUCACAGCAACACCCGAUCCUUAACCAACUGAGCGAGGCCAGGGAUCGAACCUGCGUUCUCAUGGAUGCUGGUCGGGUUUGUUUCCCACAACAGGAACUCGCAGUUUCUGAUCCUUUGUGUCUGGCCUGACGCUCAGUGGUGGCAUCCCAUGGGUGCUGCUCAGGGACUGUCCCUCCUGGGGGGUCACCUGUAAGGGUCUCGUCCCUCACUCCUGACUGUAAACUGAAGGUGGCAGCUCUUGGCUUGAGAAAGCUAAUUUCACCAGGUGGACAGCUUCCUCUGCCCGAGACAGGCCAUCGGAAGCAGCACCGUGGGUCUCCGCAUGUGGAGCGGUGGUCACUCUUCCUGCGGCUCUGGGCCAGCAGCACUGCAUUCCACCCGUCAGCUUGCUUUCGUCAACCCACCUCGCGUUCCCAGAGCAAGCUGACUGGGUCACAGGACAGUCUCUCAGUGCUGCACUUUGGUCUGAUUUUAUUCUGGAGUUCUUUUCUUUACUCUCCUAUAAUUGAGGUUAGUCUGUGCGGGUUUCUUUGAAUCUAACUUUGUUUGGUUUUGGUAGCAGCUUAUAAAAUGAAUUGUCCAACUCCCUUUUCGAUAACGAAAUUGCUCAACGUUUUCUCCUGUGCUUGAUUUUCAGCUAAUAGUGCUGGAUCCACCGGUGAGUAGCUGGGCGCCCUGUGGCCCUGAGCUCGCCCACUGGGCAUCAGGGGCCCCGGCGUGGGGAUCCCUCAGGCCUCCCGUAGCCGCAUAGUGUCAGCGUGAGCUUGGACAACACAGAGCGCCACACCGCCUGCGUCCUGCCGCAGGCCCCGCCGAGCGGGUCACAGCUCCGCCUCCUCUCCUGCCCGCAGGUGGAAGAGCUCGGGGAGUGGCCUGUCCCGCACUGUUUCACCAUCUUCGCGGCUCAGAAGACCAUCGUGGUGGCAGCCAGGAAACCGGGCAGCCUAACGAAUGAGGAGCCAGGAGCCAGUCUGCUAUCUCAGCAGCGGAGACUUAGCGCCCCGUUCCAGCUUGAGGGGUGCAGGCUGGGUGCACAAGGGCUCCCGGCUGGAAAAGGAGAAAUGGAUGCAGGACCUGAACACCGCCAUCGAGGCAGCCAAGAGCAGCGGCGACACGGCCCCGGCACCCACAGACAGCGUGCUGUGUGCCCUUCCCCACGGGUCCUCCGAAGAGGUGCCUCUGGAGCAGGAGUCAGAAGGUGGCUGCAGCGCCCAGGGUUCCUUGGACGGGCAGGGCCAGCGCCGGGCCACCACCACUGUGCACGUGUGCUGGCACCGCAGCACCAGUGUCUCCAGGGCUGACCGCAGUGCAGCCGUUGAGAAUCAGCUCUCGGGGUACCUGCUGAGAAAGUUCAAAAACAGCAGCGGCUGGCAGAGGCUCUGGGUGGUGGUCGCCAACUUCUGCUUGUUCUUCUACAAAACGCAUCAGGACGACUACCCGCUGGCCAGCCUCCCGCUGCUGGGCUACCGCGUGAGCGUCCCCAGGGAGGCCGACGGCGUCCACAAGGAGCACGUCUUCAAGCUCCAGUUCAAGUCCCACGUCUACUUCUUCCGGGCUGAGAGCAGAUACACCUUCCGGAGGUGGAUGGAGGUGAUCGAGCGAGCCAGCAGCUCAGCAGGGAGAGCCGGGGCUGCAGAGGGGGCUGCGUGACGCCCGCGCUCCCCAGACGGGGCCGCCAACGUGCCCUGCACUUGCUCACCCCGAGGAGACUGGCCACAGGUGGAUCUCACAGGCCCACGUGGGCGGGCAUCGCCCCCUCAAGACCCAGCGCAGGCCCCGACCCCGGGGGCACCAGGAAGAACACGUGUGCGUGGGAAUGGGCCAGCUCCGUGCGCUGACAGAGCCAGCGUCCCCCCGCCCUGUCCUCCAGGGCAGGCCUGGUCACAGCUGCAGGCAGGACCACCAGAAGGCCCUGUGGUGCCCCCGUCAUAUACUGCCACAGCGCGGAAGGCAAAGUCCCCCUUGACCCACCCCCAAGGAGGUGCGUUGUGCUCACAUGGGUCAAAAUAAAGGCGUGGCAUUCCCACCCUGGUGUGGGGGCUGAGG